CAGCGCGUGGGGAAGUCUGGCCGUUCCCGUCGUCCUUGGAAGUCGAAGCUCGUUGGUUCAAAUCCAACCGCGCUGACCA
rnacentral:tRNA from 1 species